AUUGAACGCUGGCGGCAGGCCUAACACAUGCAAGUCGGGCGAGCGGCGGACGGGUGAGUAAUGUAUGGGGCUCUGCCUGAUGGCGGGGGACAACUACUGGAAACGGUAGCUAACACCGCAUACCAUCCGAUGAACCCAUAUGGGAUUAGCUUGUAGGUGAGGUAACGGCUCACCUAGGCGACGAUCCCUAGCUGGUCUGAGAGGAGGAUCAGGCAAACGGGGAAUGAGACACGGACAAAAAGCGUACGGGAGGCAGCAGGGGGGAAGAGGGGACAACGGGCGAAAGCCUGAUGAAGCCAUGCCGCGUGGAGGAAGAAGGAAUUCGGGUUGUAUAGCACUUUCGGUGGGGAGGCGUAACCUACUGAAGAAGCACCGGCUAACUCCGUGCCAGCAGCCGCGGUAAUAC
rnacentral:rRNA from 1 species